rnacentral:lncRNA from 1 species
UUUAUAAAAUGUAUUAAAGAACUCUCAAGAUUUCUGAAACAUCCUGUGCCUAUGCUGCCUGAUAUACUUGAUUUCACAGCUAGGCUCUUGGAGCACCAAUGAAAAUUGAUGGCUCGGGCUAUCUUUUGAUGGAUAAGAUGAACCUAGAUUCACAGACAUUGAUCACAGUUGAUGAAAGUAAAUUCCAAGGACUCUUUAUACUAAAAGUCACUGAUGAAAGGCAAGAGCUGGAUGUGGUGCUAACCCAUAACAUCCAAGGAGCUGCUGACAUUGGCAUUCCCAUGAGGAUGUUACUUGAUGUGGUAUCAGAAAAAAAUAGUGACUUCUAUAAAGGAUUUAUUAAUUUCUGUGUGAACAACAAGCAAAUUACAGAAGAACUGAACUUUGUCCAGAAGUUGGAUGUUGUGUCUCUUAACUACAAACUUAUUCAUAACAUAGACACAUUGAAGACUUUGCAAAUAAAAGACAGGAUUGAGUUGCAGGCUAUCUUGAACCUCAAAGUCACCAGGAGCUUUAGUUUGAAAGUGCUUUAUGGUGCUCACCAAACAGUUCUUGAAGGACAAAUUCAGGAGUUUGAAACAAGUACCAACAUAACAGGGAAUUUCCAUCACUCUUUGCCAUGGCUGCUACAAGCCAGAGUCCCAUCAUCUUUACAGAUAGAUGUUGUUUUUCAAGGGAGAAACCCUACUCAAGAGAGAUAUGUGCACAUUGUAGCUGGAGAAACAUCAAUCACAUACAUAAUAAACUCCUAUUAUGUUGGCCACCAAGUGGAUCUCUUCUGCCAGAGUGUGCACAGCAGUGAGGUCCUCCAGGCAUCUGGCUACCCUAAGGCAAUCAACUUGAUUUUCAGUUUACAGAAAU